CCUUCCUUGCAUGGAAACGGGCCACGUAUGGAUGAGAAGUUGGACGUGAAUCAAACUGGACACAAUAACGCAAAGGCCUGGUAUUUGCAAAGGCAGUAUCAACUUCCAAGAAGCGGACAAUUUCUUGCACCACUAGCUUCCACUCUUUGAAGUUUGUUUCCCGGAAAUUUGACUGUGCUAUCAUCAACGAGAGUUCUAAACCUUUCUACAAGCAAUUGAACCAUCUCGGUCCGGUUCAAAAUCAAGGAAACGAGCAAAAACCGCGCGUAAAACCUCAACUCCUUAAAUCUCACACCGACAUCCUUAGCUUUAGCUCCUUCAAAGUACUUUCGAUGCAAAAUCGCUUCAUAGAACACAUAGGCUUCGAUCAAGAAUCUCAAAUCACUCGUCCUCAUAUACUGGUUAAAGUAGAGCUGGCCGAUCCGGCUAGCGAUCUCGCCUAUUUCCCAGCGGUUGAGACCGGCCUCGACCAGCUUCGACCUGUUCUCUUGCUGGUACUUCCAUAGACGCAGGUAGGCCUUGAAAACCUUCUGGAAGUAGUGGUUCUGAUCACGUCCGUACGACGGAAGGUCACGAACACGAGCGAACUUCCGGUCCGCGCUCUCCACCAGAGCUCGGAAGGUUUUCGAAACGACGUCGCUCUGGGCGGCCAUAAUUAGCGGGCGAAGCGGAAGGAUGCGUUACCACCGGAGCCGGAGGUGGUUGUUGGUGGUUAUCAUCGGCAGUCGUGCAGAGCUCGAGAGAGAGAGAGAAGGAGAACGUAUCCUUCGCUCUCUUUGUUUUUCUUUUUUCUUUUUUAAUUUUUUGGUGUGAGCUGUGAGUAAAUGGUGUCAGCGUAAUAUAUACUUUGGAUUUUGGC
rnacentral:misc_RNA from 1 species